CCUACGGGCGGCAGCAGUGGGGAAUCUUGCGCAAUGGGCGAAAGCCUGACGCAGCGACGCCGCGUGAGCGAUGAAGGCCUUCGGGUUGUAAAGCUCUGUGGGGAGGAAAGAAUAAGGCUUGGCUAAUAUCCAAGCUGAUGACGGUACCUCCUUAGCAAGCACCGGCUAACUCUGUGCCAGCAGCCGCGGUAAGACAGAGGGUGCAAACGUUGUUCGGAAUUACUGGGCGUAAAGCGCGUGUAGGCGGCUUUGCAAGUCGGGUGUGAAAUCCCACGGCUCAACCGUGGAAGUGCACUCGAAACUGCGAGGCUAGAGUCCUGGAGAGGAAGGUGGAAUGCUUGGUGUAGAGGUGAAAUUCGUAGAUAUCAAGCGGAACACCGGUGGCGAAGGCGACCUUCUGGACAGUGACUGACGCUGAGACGCGAAAGCGUGGGGAGCAAACAGGAUUAGAUACCCUAGUAGUC
rnacentral:rRNA from 1 species